rnacentral:lncRNA from 1 species
CAGCUUAUUGCUACAUGCAGAGGUAACGGAGCUUUUUAGAUCAGAAAUAUUUCUUACAGGCCUACAUUAGAAAAUUCUGCUCACACGCUGAUGUUAGCCUGGAUCUGAAAAUAAAAUAAGUCCCACCUGCCCCAUGGAGCUCAGCCAACAAAGUUCCUGGUAUGGACACAGCUGUGCUGCCAGGAAAAGGCUGCAGCCAGAUUAACCUAUUGGGUUUAGAGCCUGGUGUAACUACAAUGGCGUAAAUUCUCUUUCAGCUGACAAACAUUUGACGUCUGCUGCAGAGCUCUGCUGUUGUGGCUCUGUAAUGCUCAAAGGGACUGUGCCUGCAGCCACAGCCCUGGGGUGAGAGCAAAGGGGAGACAAAGAUACUGAGAGUCAUUGCUAGUAGGUGUCCCUUUGGACUGUGGGAGCCCCUUUAAAAACUUCCUACUCCAUAAAUCCAUUUUUCCCUGCUGGAAGAUACAUUUCCUGUGUGUGCCAGUUUCCACUGGGUGCAGGAACAUCUGAUGAUGUGACUAGAUUGUCUUUGCCUCAGAAACACCAAGCAUUUGCCUUUGCACUGGCAGAUAAAUGCUAAAGAAUCUGAACCUGGAGGAUUGCUCUGUGUAGUAGAAAGGAGCUGGGUGUUCAGGCAGAUCCUAGUGGUACUGUAAAUGCCUCUAGUCCUCAGCAGAUACUACAGUAAGAACUCUCUGCCUGCUUCAGUCACAGCAAGAGGACUGCACAAAACCAUAACCCAGCACUAUAUCAGGUUCAAAGUGUUUCCUCUGUCAUCACAUGCAUCUGCCUUGGGUUAUCAGAAAACCACAGAGAAUUACAGCAGUGAGGAAAUAUUCCAAGGUCAGCCCAGGAUCAGUCUGAGUAACAGCUGCUCUAAAAGAAGGAGGCAAGGUUCCAGGUAGGGAGGAUACUAAGAAGGGGAAAAGGGGAGGACUGCUUCCAGAAUUCUGGAGGAACUGUAGCUGUAGUCCAGCACAUGUGGAGUCUACAUGCACCCGUUUUCUCUUGUAAUGAAAUAUUAAAAGUAUUUUUGGUUGAAUAUUAGGAACUAGUCAUG